rnacentral:rRNA from 1 species
AACGAACGCUGGCGGCAUGCCUAAUACAUGCAAGUAGAACGCUGAAGGAGGAGCUUGCUUCUCUGGAUGAGUUGCGAACGGGUGAGUAACGCGUAGGUAACCUGCCUGGUAGCGGGGGAUAACUAUUGGAAACGAUAGCUAAUACCGCAUAAGAGUAGAUGUUGCAUGACAUUUGCUUAAAAGGUGCAAUUGCAUCACUACCAGAUGGACCUGCGUUGUAUUAGCUAGUUGGUGAGGUAACGGCUCACCAAGGCAACGAUACAUAGCCGACCUGAGAGGGUGAUCGGCCACACUGGGACUGAGACACGGCCCAGACUCCUACGGGAGGCAGCAGUAGGGAAUCUUCGGCAAUGGACGGAAGUCUGACCGAGCAACGCCGCGUGAGUGAAGAAGGUUUUCGGAUCGUAAAGCUCUGUUGUAAGAGAAGAACGAGUGUGAGAGUGGAAAGUUCACACUGUGACGGUAUCUUACCAGAAAGGGACGGCUAACUACGUGCCAGCAGCCGCGGUAAUACGUAGGUCCCGAGCGUUGUCCGGAUUUAUUGGGCGUAAAGCGAGCGCAGGCGGUUAGAUAAGUCUGAAGUUAAAGGCUGUGGCUUAACCAUAGUACGCUUUGGAAACUAUUUAACUUGAGUGCAAGGGGGGAGAGUGGAAUUCCAUGUGUAGCGGUGAAAUGCGUAGAUAUAUGGAGGAACACCGGUGGCGAAAGCGGCUCUCUGGCUUGUAACUGACGCUGAGGCUCGAAAGCGUGGGGAGCAAACAGG